AGCCACAGCGUCUCCAGUCAACUGCAGCCUUCACAAAAGCUGAGGAUGAGUUUUCUGUGCUUUGCCCUCUACUGAGAGUGGAUUAAAGCUUUGAGAUGCAGCAGGUCUUGUUCAGCUUUUUUUGCGGCUGUCAAAAGCACAAGCUGGCAUGGUAAUGACAGGAAGAUAUGGGUGAAAUGCCAGCCCUAAUUAGAGACUUGAUUGCUCUGUAAUAACAAGGCCUGUAUUUGAUUUGGACGGUUCUGGCUUGUCAGAGAUGACUACCCUCAACAAGAUGAAGCAAUUAUUUCUCUCUUUAUUUGGUGUUUUCAGAGACCAUUAAGCUUAUUUUGUCCUCAUUGGAAAACAAAGCAAUUUUCUAGUCAAGGUAUUUCUGAUUCUCAACAACUAAUUUUCGUUAGAAAAUAAAGGUAGAAUGUCCAUGGAGUGCCGCUGUAUAGAGAGGGGAAGUAGACCAAUGACGGAACACUUGGGAGCACCCCUGGCAAAGGGACAAUAACUUUUACAUAACCUGAAAAGGAGACCAAAGAAGUAGACCCUGGGUAGGGGGAGACCAGCAACCAAGAAAAAGCAUUUGAGGCAGACAUCACUAUCAGAUGCGGGAGAGGGGCACCGAAAAUUAGGAGCGGGCACUGAGUUUCAUAAGACAGUUGCCAAAGACAUCACAGUGGUGUGAAAAUGU
rnacentral:lncRNA from 13 species